rnacentral:rRNA from 1 species
UACGUAGGGUGCGAGCGUUGUCCGGAAUUAUUGGGCGUAAAGGGCUCGUAGGCGGUCUGUCGCGUCGGGAGUGAAAACUCGGGGCUUAACUCCGAGCCUGCUUCUGAUACGGGCAGACUAGAGGUAUGCAGGGGAGAAUGGAAUUCCUGGUGUAGCGGUGAAAUGCGCAGAUAUCAGGAGGAACACCGGUGGCGAAGGCGGUUCUCUGGGCAUGUCCUGACGCUGAGGAGCGAAAGCGUGGGGAGCAAACAGG